UCAAACUAAAUUAAAUGCAUAUGCGUUAGAAAAAAUAAAAAUAAAUGAAAAUUAAAAUAAAAUGAGAAUCAAAAUAUUCAAAAUACUAACCGUAGUUCCCCGGCAACGGCGCCAAAUUUGAUAAGCUGUCGUUGAAGCUAUCAAAUUAAUACUACUUUUCAAGGAAACUUCAGUAUUGUUUAGUAGUAUUCAAGAAAGUAGAUAGGGCUAAAGUAACCCUAAGUCAUCUCCCAACGAACACGGAAUUGCUUUCGAAUAUCUGACUCUUAUGAAUGCUAUGCAAUGCUUAUGAGUAAUGAGUAAAAGUGAGAAUGUUUAAAGAAUGUUGUAGAACAAAGAGGAAAC
rnacentral:lncRNA from 1 species